rnacentral:rRNA from 1 species
UACGAAGGGAGCUAGCGUUGUUCGGAAUCACUGGGCGUAAAGCGCACGUAGGCGGAUGUGUCAGUCAGGGGUGAAAUCCCGGAGCUCAACUUCGGAACUGCCCUUGAUACAGCACGUCUUGAGUCCGGAAGAGGUGGGUGGGAUUCCUAGUGUAGAGGUGAAAUUCGUAGAUAUUAGGAAGAACACCGGUGGCGAAGGCGGCCCACUGGUCCGGUACUGACGCUGAGGUGCGAAAGCGUGGGGAGCAAACAGG